GCCGGUGUGGCGAAAUGGCAGACGCACGGGACUUAAAAUCCCGGGAGUGUUAAACCUCGUGCGGGUUCGAGUCCCGCCACCGGCACCA
rnacentral:tRNA from 1 species